rnacentral:rRNA from 1 species
AUUGAACGCUGGCGGCAUGCCUAACACAUGCAAGUCGAACGGAAACGAUGGGAGCUUGCUCCCAGGCGUCGAGUGGCGGACGGGUGAGUAAUACUUAGGAAUCUACCCAGUAGCGGGGGACAACUCGAGGAAACUCGAGCUAAUACCGCAUACGCCCUACGGGGGAAAGCAGGGGAUCUUCGGACCUUGCACUAUUGGAUGAGCCUAAGUCGGAUUAGCUUGUUGGUGAGGUAAAGGCUCACCAAGGCGACGAUCCGUAGCUGGUCUGAGAGGACGAUCAGCCACACUGGGACUGAGACACGGCCCAGACUCCUACGGGAGGCAGCAGUGGGGAAUAUUGGACAAUGGGGGCAACCCUGAUCCAGCAAUGCCGCGUGUGUGAAGAAGGCCUGCGGGUUGUAAAGCACUUUCAGUAGAGAAGAAAAGCCUACGGUUAAUACCCGUAAGUCUUGACGUUACCUACAGAAGAAGCUCCGGCUAACUCCGUGCCAGCAGCCGCGGUAAUACGGAGGGAGCGAGCGUUAAUCGGAAUUACUGGGCGUAAAGCGCGCGUAGGCGGCUUUGUAAGUCGGAUGUGAAAGCCCUGGGCUCAACCUGGGAAUGGCAUUCGAU